rnacentral:rRNA from 1 species
UACGUAGGGGGCAAGCGUUGUCCGGAUUUAUUGGGCGUAAAGAGCGUGUAGGCGGCCAAGCAGGUCCGCUGUGAAAACUCGAGGCUCAACCUCGAGACGUCGGUGGAAACCGUUUGGCUAGAGUCCGGAAGAGGAGAGUGGAAUUCCCGGUGUAGCGGUGAAAUGCGCAGAUAUCGGGAAGAACACCCGUGGCGAAGGACGGCGCUCUGGAGCGGUACUGACGCUGAGACGCGAAAGCGUGGGGAGCGAACAGG